CCUCUCUCUCUCUCUCUCUCUCUACAAUUAUUACUCAUUAGUGGCCAUACAAGUGUGGUGAGGAUGAUGAGGAUGGGAUUUUUUCCAGGACUUGUAGCACCUCUUUCAUUGUUGGCCUUUUUUGUGGGAUUGGAGAAGCACAACUGUAACCUAACUUGAAGCAAGCCAGCAAGGUAUCCUCUUUCCCAUCCACAUCAGCUCGAAUCGCCACGUCCGCCAUCCUUAUAGCUCGAUUUUUAUCAUCAACUGCAAGCCCAUUAUAUCCUUGGCCCAACUCAUCCACAACUAUAGCCUUCCCGGUUAGUAGCUCUAGUAAUAUAACCCCAAAAGAAUACACAUCCCACUUUGGGUUGGGUUUGAGGCUUCUCAGCAACUCCGGAGCAUGGUAAAGAGAUAGACCUCCUAUCGAGCUUGGACUUGGGCUUGGACUCGGCCCAAGUGAGAAGUCCUGGAAGCUGUCUCGCGAGGCUGUAGACCUUUUGCUUCCAAAGUUUCGGGUUGAUCCGCAGGAUUUACAACUCGAAUCACCGGUCACGAGCCUCUCAAGCCCAAAAUCUCCAACCCUUGGCUCCAUAUCAGAACCCAAAAGAAUAUUACUGGGCUUCAAGUUUCCAUGCACAUGCUUCUUGUCGUGGAGGAACGACAGGCCACGGGCCACCCCUUUGGCAAUCUUGAGCCGGGCCUCCCAUGGUAGAUGGCAAGGUGAAGAGCCCACUUUCCCUAAACAUGCAUCAGGCGCAAAUUAGCGGAGUAGAUGGUUACUGGUCACUUAAAAUUUAAAAAGAAAAAUAUAACAAAGGCCAAUCGCUUUCUGUGGGAGGGAGAGAGCUGUUCUGGAACUCCGGGCAACGUAUAUCGCUAUCGAACGCCGUGAGGUAAACGAUAACAAAUACGACCACAUCAUCAGGCAGUUGACUCCCUCCCAUGCAUUAAAAACAAAGGGUUCAGUUGUACCUACUCCACCGUCAAAUAAUCCAGUCCAUGGCUCACGCUAGUAGACACAAUAAUAAUAUACUAACGUGCGCACACAUAAAGACGAUGGAGAAAAGAAGAGGGAACUCACUGUAACGAGCAUUGGCGAGGCUGCCAUUGGGGACGAAAUCAUAGAUAAUGAGCUUCUCAUCGACCCCCCAAUAGAACCCACGAAUUCGAACCAGAUUUGGGUGCACCAACUUGGCUAUGACACGGACCUGUGUCUCGAAGUCCCUGAACCGCUCUACGUGGCUCUCACCUAUUCUACGAACCGCAAGUGCAGUCCCAUCUUCGAGAACGGCCUUGUACAUUAUGCUUGAGCCAGUUGCGCCCAGUAUAUAUGCUGAUGCUUUGAGUAAAGUUUCAAGCUCGAGCUGUUUUUCGCCGUCAACCGUUACUAGUGUGCCUCCUUUGUUUUGUUCCUGCUCUUGCGGCCGUUGAUUUUCGAGACUUCUAGGGUCGUCGUCGUCGUUGUCAGAACUUGUGGAAUCGGAUUCUUCUUCGUUAUCUCCUCUCUUGCGUAAACAUGACCAUCUUGUGAACCCUCUUGAUUCUGAGGAGGAAGAUGACCAGGUGUCCUCCUUUGCAGUAUUGGCCUCUUUCUUGAGUGUGGUUUCGACGUUUUUCCUUUUCUUUAAGUGGUACACAUAGAAGAAAAUCAUGCCAAGAAUUGCAGCCCCUGCAAUGUCGCCAACUACGAUUCCUAUGAUGGUCCCUCCCCUAAGCCCUCGAGACCCGGCUGCUUGACCCGGUGGGGUGGUUUCUGGGCUAGAGGCUAUUGUUUUUGGAAUUGCAGCGAUUGCCAGAGGAGAAGUAGGGGAAGAGACAUUUGGAAGAGAGGAUGGCGGAGAAAGAAUUGGACAAGGGUUUCUUAAUGGCUUGCCGCAGAGAUCAGGAUUCCCAAUAAAAGAAUUCCCUUUCUGAUUCAAGAAAAUGCUAGAAUCUGGAAUUUCUCCAGACAGAUUAUUGAAUGAAAUAUCAAUAGUGGCAUUACCAGGAAUUUGUGAAGCGAAUUCUGUUGGAAUUGGCCCAGAGAGCUUGUUAUAAGAGAUGUUCAAGUACUGGAGACUGCUACCACCAAAACCUUGAGGCAGAGAUCCAUUGAUGAGAUUCGAAGAAAGAUCUAAGACUUGAACCGCUCGAAAGCCACUGGGAAGACCACCAAAGAAGUAAUUGUUGUUCAAAGAAACAGUAGUUAGAUUAUGGAGGGUAGGAAGACUGGAGGGUAAGGUUCCCGCCAAGGCAUUUUCAGACAGGUUAAGAAACUCAAGAUUCUGCAAGGUUCCUAUAGUCUCUGGCAACUCGCCAGAGAUCAUAUUAUUAGACAAAUCAAGAAAGCGAAGUUGGGAUGCGUUGAAAAGGGAAAAAGGCAAAGACCCAUUGAGAGAAUUGUUGGACAUAUCAAGAUUUUGGAGGUGUUGUAUCAUACCAAGAUCGGAAGGGAUUGAACCAAGAAGCUGAGAAUUUGGGAGAGACAAACCAGUGACACGAUUGAAAGAAGCAUCUAUUCCCGGAGCUCCACAUGUAACUCCAUUCCAGGAACACGGAGUCUCAUCGAAGUAGUUCCAGCUCUUAAGAACACGGAGAGGGUCACCGAUAAUAGAGAACUUGAAAGAAAGCAAGAGAAUACCAUCUGUGUUGAGCCCAAAAGAUUGGACUACAAGAAGUAAAAGAAUGAGUGCAAGAAUUGUCCACCAUAAAUGAAGGCUAAUCCUUUGGGAAUUCAUGAUUUCUCAGAGUAAUCCCACAUCUCUCCUAUGAAAAACUACAAUCGGGGAGAGAGAGAGAUU
rnacentral:misc_RNA from 1 species